rnacentral:lncRNA from 1 species
UUAAGUGUCAACCUUGUGUGCAGGGCACUAGACUCAUGUGGGCAACUUGCCGAUCAAAUCAAGUUAAGAUAACCAGAUCAAGACUGGGGCAUUGUGGACUAGCUGCAUAUUUAAAUCGAAUAGGCAAACAUCCGGAUGGAUUAUGUCAGUGUGGUCAACUUGAGACUAUUUCCCAUGUUCUAUUGGCCUGUGGAUGUUAUUCUGUUGAAAGGGGAAUGUUAUUUAAAGAACUUUCAACUCUUGGGCUGACAGUGUUUUCAAUAAAGUCAAUAUUUGCAUCAAGAACAGAGUCGAUUUUAAUAGAUAAGGCAGUCGUGAGGUAUCUUCAAUCUUCCAACCUCUAUUUCCACCUUUUCCACAAAUAAUACAAUUAAAAAACUCAUUGUUUGAUUUUAAAAAAAGAAGAAUAUAUGUAGCCUAUGUGGGUAGAUAAAACUGUGUGAAGUAAACGCUGUGUAUCUGCAAAUUUUUACAGUGUAUCUCACUAUGGGGAAAAAAGUAAACAAUAGUAUUAAAAAUGAAAAUACAAAAUAUAAAAUUAAAAUGUACUAUUUUAGCAGGGUAGGACAACCUCCUCUAAAAUAUUUUAGUUUACUCACAGAUACAUCCCUAUGUGAGGAUAUCUAUGGUGGUUAGAGUUGAUCAAAAUUGCAAUGACUGACUACUGUGCUUCCUAAAUGCUACUAUUAGUAUAUCUGUACUCUUAUCUGCAAUUUCCUUUUUAUUUGUGUUUAGAGAAAAUAUACAGUACAUGCUGAACAGCUUCAGAUCUAUGUUUGGUGUAUCAGAGGUCUUCAAAAGAUAUAAAUAACUGACCCGUAUUUCAUUGAAUCUUCUUUUUUAGAGAAGUAUGUCUUUAUUGUGGCAUAUGAAGGAUGGACUGGUACCAUUCGAUUCAACACAAACUCUUCAAACAACUUAACUAAUUACACAAUAGAAGUUACAAAAGAUAAUAAAAGAGUCUUUGCCCGUCGAGAUGGACCGGAAUUGCUGCAAAUGGAUGAGUAUAAAGGAAGAGUAUCUAUUGACGAUGCAGAGCUGGAGCGAGGUGUGGUGAUAGUUUACUUUAACAAUAUCUCGCAUGCUGACCAUGGGAAGUACAGGCUCUACAUCCAUAAGCUGAAUAUUCGUUUAUUCUCCAUCAUGGAAGUUCAACCAAAUUCAACCGGAGAAGAUUCGACCACAAUGACAUCAGAGAACGAGAAAGUUGCAGAAGGAACAAAAUGGGAGUAUCUCUCUGUUCUUGUACUUGUUCUUCCCAUUGCUCUGUUAGUCCUGGCCUGGUUGAAGAGGAAAAAUAUCCAAAAGUUUUGGAGGAACGUGAGGUGUAGAAGAACAGCAGGUGAAGAGCCAGAACAUGUAGCAUUCAACACAGGCCAGGAAGAAGUUCAUGUGUCCCUCAAUGGGAGAGAGCUUACUGCAGGAGUGUGUAGGACCUCCCCCACCACCACCAGACUCACCGGAUCACCAGGAGAGGAGCCCCUCAGCGUAACCACAGUCGAUGAUUAACCCCAGCAAAGCUGCUGGCCCAGACAACAUACCUGGGAGGGUGCUGAGGGUCUCUGCAGCUGUCCCCACCUGCCUGAAGACUGGCACCAUUGAGAUGACUUUGUUGUAAUUUGCUCUAUAUAAAUAAAGUUGAAAUUAAUUCCUGUCCCCA